UUGAGUACAGUAGAGGUGGGCGGAAUUCGUGGUGUAGCGGUGAAAUGCUUAGAUAUCACGAAGAACUCCGAUUGCGAAGGCAGCUCACUGGACUGCAACUGACACUGAUGCUCGAAAGUGUGGGUAUCAAACAGGAUUAGAUACCCUGGUAGUCCACACAGUAAACGAUGAAUACUCGCUGUUUGCGAUAUACAGUAAGCGGCCAAGCGAAAGCAUUAAGUAUUCCACCUGGGGAGUACGCCGGCAACGGUGAAACUCAAAGGAAUUGACGGGGGCCCGCACAAGCGGAGGAACAUGUGGUUUAAUUCGAUGAUACGCGAGGAACCUUACCCGGGCUUAAAUUGCAGUGGAAUGAUGUGGAAACAUGUCAGUGAGCAAUCACCGCUGUGAAGGUGCUGCAUGGUUGUCGUCAGCUCGUGCCGUGAGGUGUCGGCUUAAGUGCCAUAACGAGCGCAACCCUUAUCUUCAGUUACUAACAGGUCAUGCUGAGGACUCUGGAGAGACUGCCGUCGUAAGAUGUGAGGAAGGUGGGGAUGACGUCAAAUCAGCACGGCCCUUACGUCCGGGGCUACACACGUGUUACAAUGGGGGGUACAGAAGGCAGCUAGCGGGUGACCGUAUGCUAAUCCCAAAAUCCUCUCUCAGUUCGGAUCGAAGUCUGCAACCCGACUUCGUGAAGCUGGAUUCGCUAGUAAUCGCGCAUCAGCCACGGCGCGGUGAAUACGUUCCCGGGCCUUGUACACACCGCCCGUCAAGCCAUGGGAGCCGGGGGUACCUGAAGUACGUAACCGCAAGGAUCGUCCUAGGGUAAAACUGGUGACUGGGGCUAAGUCGUAACAAGGUAACC
rnacentral:rRNA from 1 species